CCUACGGGAGGCAGCAGUGAGGAAUAUUGGACAAUGGAGGCAACUCUGAUCCAGCCAUGCCGCGUGCAGGAAGACUGCCCUAUGGGUUGUAAACUGCUUUUAUACAGGAAGAAACACUAGUACGUGUACCAGCUUGACGGUACUGUAAGAAUAAGGACCGGCUAACUCCGUGCCAGCAGCCGCGGUAAUACGGAGGGUCCGAGCGUUAUCCGGAAUCAUUGGGUUUAAAGGGUCCGCAGGCGGUCAAUUAAGUCAGAGGUGAAAUCCCAUAGCUCAACUAUGGAACUGCCUUUGAUACUGGUUGACUUGAGUCAUAUGGAAGUAGAUAGAAUGUGUAGUGUAGCGGUGAAAUGCAUAGAUAUUACACAGAAUACCGAUUGCGAAGGCAGUCUACUACGUAUGUACUGACGCUGAGGGACGAAAGCGUGGGGAGCGAACAGGAUUAGAUACCCUGGUAG
rnacentral:rRNA from 1 species